rnacentral:hammerhead_ribozyme from 1 species
AUCUGGCUGAUGAGUCCCAAAUAGAACGAAACGGGUGUCCUCGAU